rnacentral:rRNA from 1 species
GACGAACGCUGGCGGCGUGCCUAAUACAUGCAAGUCGAACGCAGUGGGGACGGGUGAGUAACACGUGGGUAACCUCCCAUCAGAGGGGAUAACAAUUGGAAACAGGUGCUAAACCGACACUGAUGGAUGAACCCGCGGUGCAUUCGCUAGUUGGUGGGGUAACGGCUCACCAAGGCCACGUUGCAUAGCCGACCUGAGAGGGUGAUCGGCCACACUGGGACGGAGACACGGCCCAGACUCCUACGGUAGGCAGCAGUAGGGAAUCGUCGGCAAUGGACGAAAGUCUGACCGAGCAACGCCGCGUGAGUGAAGAAGGUUUUCGGAUCGUAAAGCUCUGUUGUUAGAGAAGCGGUAUCUAACCAGAAAGCCACGGCUAACUACGUGCCAGCAGCCGCGGUAAUAC